AACGAGCGCAACCCUCGCCUCUAGUUGCCAGCAUUCGGUUGGGCACUCUAGAGGGAUUGCCGGCGACAAGUCGGAGGAAGGUGGGGAUGACGUCAAAUCAUCAUGCCCCUUAUGACCUGGGCUACACACGUGCUACAAUGGGCGGUACAAAGGGCUGCGAACCCGCGAGGGGGAGCGAAUCCCAAAAAGCCGCUCUCAGUUCGGAUUGCAGGCUGCAACUCGCCUGCAUGAAGCCGGAAUCGCUAGUAAUCGCGGAUCAGCAUGCCGCGGUGAAUACGUUCCCGGGCCUU
rnacentral:rRNA from 1 species